ensembl:lncRNA
CAUUUGUAUACAUAUUUUAUAAAACUUCACUUUAUAGUUAUUGUCUCCAUCAUUACUUCAACCAGUGAUGGUGACAUAAAAUCUUAUUUUUUAUCUCUCUUUAGUAUGUCAUCACUGGAUCUGGAUGUCAUCAGUGAAGAUGAACUUAACAACAUUAAAAACUCAAUGUAAGUUGUUGUGUUGACUGAAUAGAUGUUUUAAAUUAUAUUGUUAGAUUGAAUAUAAUUUUCCAAUUUUACUACAUAGUAUCGAGUGGGAAGAUGACACCUGGUGUCCUGAUAUGGAGACAAAGUCUGUGUCAUCAUUUGAAGAAGACGAAACAAAGGAAAUAGAUACAGACUAUGAUGACAGUGAUGAUGAGGACUAUAUGCCACAUAUUUGUGUGCGGCAGGUUCAAUAAUGUAUGACUAUUAUAUUGAAGUUAUUCAUAUGUUUGCUAGAUAUUUUUUAAAUAUUUGUGUUACAACAGGACUGGCGGUGCUCUGAAGACUCCGAUUUGUCUGAAUUCCCUUCAAACAAUUAGUAUGGAGGACACUGUGCACGAUGCUGAAGACAACUCCCAAGACCCUACUAUUGCAGACAUACAUCCAAUCCCAGAGACUGCUAAAAUCAUGGUUGAGGAUGACAUAAUUGGCCAGCCAGCAUCUAUAACAUACCACAGUUGUCUGAAGCUGCUUGCUGAAUAUCUUGUUCUACCUGUGAACAUGUGUACUGCUAAGGACACAAACACAAAUGCAGAGUGUGGGGCACAUAAACCAUUUGAGGUCAACAUCCAUUCCGGGGGUACAGCUGCAAUUGUGGAAUGGAUAUGUUGUAAUGGUCACACUGUUUGGAAAUGGUCUGGAUGUCUGGCAUGGGUCCAAAAACUUGAGCAAAAAAAUUCACGCAGUAAGUAUAAUAAAUCCGCAUCAGUAAUCACAUUUCAUCUGAUCACAAUAAAAACUUACAUAACAGCACCCUUCCAUACCUUUUUAUUUCUUUUUUAAAUAUAUUAUUGUAUUUUUAAUCCUGUUGACAUAAUCAUAGUUUACCUAAUACAAAAGAAUAAUUGUUUAUGCAUCCAGGCAGGGCAGCAAAAGGGGUGUGCCAUUCUCCAGAUGUGGAAUAAAGACAUCUGCAACCACUUCUGGUACUGCUGU